AUGGCCAGUAUAAAGCAGGAUGUGGUCCUCCUGAUGGACAUGGACAUAGGAGAGGUGGAGGACAGGGCCGUGCAGGUUGAGGAGGAGGAGGGGGGUGUGGAGGAGGUGGCCCUGCAGGUGGAGGAGUUGGCCCUGCAGGUGGAGGAGGUGGCCCUGCAGGUGGAGGAGGUUGCCCUGCAGGUGGCGGAGGUGGCCCUGCAGGUGGAGGAGGUGGAGGAGGGGGGCCCGCAGGUGGAUGAGGUGGCCCACCCGGACACGGAAGGACCAGCGGUCUCUACUGUGCAGAGGAAGAGGAGGAGCAAAGAGCUUCACAGCCAGAAGAAGGGGCUUGCAACACGGAAUAAAACUUUACCGAAGAAUUGCCCCUACCAUAUUGGUCGAGAUGCCUUUGAAAUAAGGAGUUACGUGAAGGAGAGGAUUAGAAAGGGCAUUAAAGAAGUCCUCGUCGAUUGGCAGCCUUGCCCAGUUUGGUUUCAGCAAGGUUUACAGGGCCCGGUUCACAUGUGGAAGCCAGCGUGUCCCACUGACACUACCCGGUACUUUGACACGCACACCCAACGCCUCUCCAAGUGCUCGUAG
rnacentral:lncRNA from 1 species